rnacentral:rRNA from 1 species
CAGUCGCCACGGUAAUACGUAGGGUGCAAGCGUUAAUCGGAAUUACUGGGCGUAAAGCGUGCGCAGGCGGUUAUAUAAGACAGAUGUGAAAUCCCCGGGCUCAACCUGGGAACUGCAUUUGUGACUGUAUAGCUAGAGUACGGCAGAGGGGGAUGGAAUUCCGCGUGUAGCAGUGAAAUGCGUAGAUAUGCGGAGGAACACCGAUGGCGAAGGCAAUCCCCUGGGCCUGUACUGACGCUCAUGCACGAAAGCGUGGGGAGCAAACAGGAUUAGAUACCCGUGUAGUCCCUGUCUCUUAUAU